rnacentral:lncRNA from 1 species
ACAAACCCUAAUUUCCUCUCUCCAUCCAAACCCUAACCCCGAGCAACCUUAGUUUUCAGCAACCACAGCCAACAAUCACAAAGAUAAAUAACCUCCUCUUUUUCACUACCUAAAGUAUUAAGCUUUUGAGGCUCUAGACUCAUCAUCAAGCUAGUCCAUUUAAAUAUCAUAUUCAAUUAUUCAUUUCUUUAAAAAAAAUUCAUUCAAUUAAUUAAGUUCUGAUCAGGGCCUCUACUGUGGGUGUCGGCCGCAAAGCCUUACCCAGUUCGUAAGUUCUUUUCCUUUUGUUUUAUUUUGAAUUUUAUUUCGAUUUUAUCAUUUUAUUAGAUCUCAUUUCAUUUUCUGGAACCUUUUGUUAUAUUUUUCUUACUUUAAAGCUAUUUACAAGCCAACCUAGCCGAUGAUCUAAAAAGGGUUGGAUCUCUAAUGUGAGAUCGGAUAACCUUUGGAUCAUAUUUUGAUUGGACCCUAAUCUACCGGAUUGCGAUUAAGUAGUGAAGUACAAAAUUUUGCUGCCGAUCUUGUCUGAGAUCGGUCUCGAAUGGAUUGUACAAAGAUUUAUUAGAAGGUUUUUGAACAUCAAAAUAAUGUUUUUAAUGGAUUUUUGAGUUUCACCCUAAUUCUACAUUUUAAGGUUGUAACCUUAUAUAACUUUUCCCUUUUAGAAAAUAUCUCUUUGUUUUUUUAGGGUGUGGUUUGCCUGAAGGUACAACUUUAAACUUUAAACAAUCAAAGUAAGACAACAACUCCAAACUUUACUAUAAGAUGCAAUUUUAGUAUUGAAAUUUUUUUAGGAGCGUAUGAGAAAAGUUUAUAUAAAGUUACAACUUUAAACUAUAGAAUUAGGGCGAACCUAAAAAAUCCAUCGAAAAUGGUGUUUUGAUGUUGAAAAACCCUCUAAUUGAUCAUCUCGAUAUUGAGAUAUAUGGGGAAAAAAAAUUCGAAUCUCAAGAACAGUGCAUCUUG